rnacentral:lncRNA from 1 species
GAGGAAAGCCAGCACGGCGGCGGCUCGGAGGAUGGAGAGGAGACGCAGGGAUCAGGGCGAGAGCAGCAGCGAGAGCCCGGCCGGCAGCCACGGCCACCGCUCCAGGAAGCUGGCCAUGCUCUCCAGGUCCCUGAUCCUGUGUCACUCCAAGACGAAUGACGACUGUCCAGAGGAGUGUCGCGCCGGCGAGGUUUCUGAGGGGAGCAGGACGUGGGGCUCCAGCUGGAACUCCAACCACAUGGCAGGGGAUCACACACCGUACAGAGACGCCCAGAACGGACAGUGGAGGACGGACACACACUCACCUGUGGAGGGGAGGGGAGGCAGUGACGCAGACAACCAGCAGCUGACCAGCCCACUCAGGGAGAGCAAGAGGAGCAUCAGGAGGUCCUUCAGCAUCAAGGAGAGCAGCAUCUGGAGGAUGUGUGUAGCCACAGCGCCCACAGACGAGGUACGCGGACCACAAAUGGCUGAUAACAGCGUCCAGACGGAGGACAAAGACUCUAAUGUGGAGCCGGGGAGGAACGGAGGGAACCUGCACAGGUAAUAAAGCACAUUAGCACAACUCUAAGUGCUGCGCUUCCGGUAACGGCUCUGGAAAAGUGAAACGUAUCCUGCAGCAGAUGUAUAGAAAUCAU